CCUGAGGACUUUAAGAGGUAGAGAAACCCAGAGGUCUCAAUAAAGUUAGACUUCUGUUGGCCAGCUUUGUCUCUCCUUUAUCAGUCAGUGACCACUCUACUCCAGGCCAGCUCCUCAGUGAGGGAAGUGUCCCAGACGGAACCAAGUGAAGAUGCCGGCAGCAGCCUCUAACACCUAUACAAAGUUGAACUGUACCUGGGAAGAACGGAGAAAUGAGGUGGGAUGUCCUAAGAGACCCCACCCCCACCCUGCCCCCACCCAUCCCCGCCCCAGGCUCAACUUGCUUGACUGAGUUCACUCUC